CAGCAGCCGCGGUAAUACCGGCGGCCCGAGUGGCGGUCACUAUUAUUGGGCUUAAAGCGUCCGUAGCCGGGUUGGGAAGUCCUCCGGGAAAUCUGGCCGCUUAACGGUCAGAAUGCCGGAGGAUACUCCCAGCCUAGGGACCGGGAGAGGCCGAGGGGAUUCCCGGGGUAGGGGUGAAAUCCUAUAAUCCCGGGAGGACCACCUGUGGCGAAGGCGCUCGGCUGGAACGCGUCCGACGGUGAGGGACGAAGGCCAGGGGAGCAAACCGGAUUAGAUACCCGGGUAGUCCUGGCUGUAAACGAUGCGGACUUUGUGUCGGACAAGCUAUGAGCUUGUCCGGUGCCGGAGGGAAACCGUUAAGUCCGCCGCCUGGGGAGUACGGCCGCAAGGCUGAAACUUAAAGGAAUUGGCGGG
rnacentral:rRNA from 1 species